rnacentral:rRNA from 1 species
AUACCGGCGGCCCGAGUGGUGGCCGCUAUUAUUGGGCCUAAAGCGUCCGUAGCCGGGCCCGUAAGUCCCUGGCGAAAUCCCACGGCUCAACCGUGGGGCUUGCUGGGGAUACUGCGGGCCUUGGGACCGGGAGAGGCGGGGGGUACCCCUGGGGUAGGGGUGAAAUCCUAUAAUCCCAGGGGGACCGCCAGUGGCGAAGGCGCCCCGCUGGAACGGGUCCGACGGUGAGGGACGAAGGCCAGGGGAGCGAACCGGAUUAGAAACCCUAGUAGUCC